rnacentral:rRNA from 1 species
UGCCAGCAGCCGCGGUAAUACAUAUGGUGCAAGCGUUAUCCGGAUUUAUUGGGCGUAAAGCGCGCGUAGGCGGUUUGGUAAGUUAGAAGUUAAAUUCCAGGGCUCAACCCUGGUUCGCUUUUAAAACUGCCAAGCUAGAGUUUUGGAGAGGGAAGGGGAACUAACAGAGUAGCGGUGAAAUGCGUAGAUACUGUUAGGAACACCAGUGGCGAAGGCGCCUUCCUGGACAAUAACUGACGUUAAAGUGCGAAAGCGUGGGGAGCAAACAGGAUUAGAUACCCUGGUAGUCCACGCUGUAAACGAUGUACAUUAGGUGUAGGGGGUAUCGACCCCCUCUGUGCCGAAGCUAACGCGUUAAAUGUACCGCCUGGGGAUUACGGCCGCAAGGCUAAAACUUAAAGGAAUUGGCGGGGGA